UGAGGAAUAUUGGUCAAUGGACGGAAGUCUGAACCAGCCAUGCCGCGUGAAGGAUGAAGGCGUUCUGCGUUGUAAACUUCUUUUAUCUGGGAAGAAACCACAGAUUUCUAUUUGUGUUGACGGUACCAGAAGAAUAAGCACCGGCUAACUCCGUGCCAGCAGCCGCGGUAAUACGGAGGGUGCGAGCGUUAUCCGGAUUUACUGGGUUUAAAGGGUGCGUAGGCGGGCUAUUAAGUCAGAGGUGAAAUCUCCGGGCUCAACCUGGAAACUGCCUUUGAUACUAUUAGCCUUGAAUUAUGUUGAGGUUGGCGGAAUAUAACAUGUAGCGGUGAAAUGCUUAGAUAUGUUAUGGAACACCGAUUUCGAAGGCAGCUGGCUAAACAUAUAUUGAUGCUGAUGCACGAAAGCGUGUGUAGCGAAC
rnacentral:rRNA from 1 species